rnacentral:tRNA from 1 species
UCCCUGGUGGUCCAGUGGUUAAGACUCCGCGCUGCCAAUGCAAGGGGCACAGGUUUGAUCCCUGGUCAGGGAA